rnacentral:rRNA from 1 species
UACAGAGGUCUCAAGCGUUGUUCGGAAUCACUGGCGUAAAGGGUGCGUAGGCCGCGCCGUAAGUCAGAUGUGAAAUCCCGGGGCUCAACCCCGGAACUGCAUCCGAUACUGCGGUGCUUGAGGACUGGAGAGGAGAUUGGAAUUCAUGGUGGAGCAGUGAAAUGCGUAGAUAUCAUGAGGAACGCUAGUGGCGUAGGCGAAUCUCUGGACAGUUCCUGACGCUGAGCACGAAGGCCAGGGGAGCAAACGGG